rnacentral:rRNA from 1 species
GAUGAACGCUGGCGGCGUGCCUAAUACAUGCAAGUCGAGCGAACAGACGAGGAGCUUGCUCCUUCGACGUUAGCGGCGGACGGGUGAGUAACACGUAGGUAACCUACCUAUAAGACUGGGAUAACUUCGGGAAACCGGAGCUAAUACCGGAUAAUAUUUCGAACCGCAUGGUUCGAUAGUGAAAGAUGGCUUUGCUAUCACUUAUAGAUGGACCUGCGCCGUAUUAGCUAGUUGGUAAGGUAACGGCUUACCAAGGCAACGAUACGUAGCCGACCUGAGAGGGUGAUAGGCCGCACUGGAACUGAGACCGGGACAAGACUCCUACGGGAGGCAGCAGAAGGGAAUCUGCGGCAAGGGUCGAAAGCCUGACGGAGCAAGGCGGCGUGAGUGAUGAAGGUCUUCGGUUCGUAAAACUCUGUUAUUGGGUAAGAACAAACGUGUAAUUAACUGUGCAGGGCUUGACGGUACCUAAUCAGAAAGCCACGGCUAACUACGUG